rnacentral:rRNA from 1 species
AUUGAACGCUGGCGGCAGGCUUAACACAUGCAAGUCGAGCGAGCGGCGGACGGGUGAGUAAUGUCUGUGAAACUGCCUGAUGGAGGGGGAUCACUACUGGCAACGGUAGCUACUACCGCAUACCAUCAGAUGUGCCCAGAUGGGAUUAGCUAGGAGCUUGGGUAAUGGCUCACCUAGGCGACGAUCCCUAGCUGGUCUGAGAGGAUGACCAGCCACACUGGAACUGAGACACGGUCUGGACUCCUACGGGAGGCAGCAGUGGGGAAUAUUGCACAAUGGGCGCAAGCCUGAUGCAACCAUGCCGCGUGUGUGAAGAAGGCCUUCGGGUUGUAAAGCACUUUCAGCGAGGAGGCGUUACUCGCAGAAGAAGCACCGGCUAACUCCGUGCCAGCCGCCGCGGUAAUAC